ensembl:piRNA 21ur-3332 ncRNA
UGUACUUCUCCUUAUCAGAGG